rnacentral:piRNA from 2 species
UCCAGAUGUGUUCCCAAAUGCUGGAGC